AUGAUAGUAAUAUCCUCUUCUUGAAUGGAUCUUUUAAUCAUUGAAUAGUGUCCUUCGUUGUCUUUCUUUAUGGCCUUCAUUUUAAAGUCUGUUUCAUCUGAUAUGAGUAUUGCAACUCCUGCUUUCCUGUCAUGUCCAUUGUCAUGAAAUACUUUUUCCCACCCCCUCACUUUCAAUCUAUAUGUGUCCUUUUCCUAAGGUGAGUGUCUUGUAGGCAGCAGAUUGAAGUUUUUUGCUUUCUUAUCCAAUCAGCCACUCUGUGUCUUUUGAUGGGAGCAUAGAGUCCUUUGACAUUUAAGGUGAUAAUUGAUAGAUGAUUAUUUAUUGCUGUUUUAAACCUUGUUUUCCAGGUGAUUCUAUGAUUCUCCAUUCUUCCUUUCUGUUUUUGGUUGGAUGGUCUCCAAUUAUUUUCUGCUUGAGUGUUUUUCUUUUCGUUUUUUGUGAAUGUAAUGUUUGGUUUUGAUUUGUGGUUGCCCUGUUUUUUUAAGUAUGUCAACCCCUUCCAAUAAUUGUGUGUUUUAGCCUGAUAGUCCUGUAGGUUCAAACACUUCACUACCAUACUAAAAUUUAAAAAAAGAAAAUUAAAACAAGAAUCUAUUUAUUUCCUUACUUCCCUUGCCCACAUUUUAUGAUUUCGAUGUUUCUCUUUUUUCUUUUUAAUUUUAUUUUGUUUUAAACAUCUUCAUGAUUAGAUCUGUAUGCUGGCUUAUUUGAGUGACUGCUCUCUGAUUGUGGUUUCCUCCAUCCUAGUUCUUCCUCUCUUUUUUUAAUUUUUUUUUUUUUAUUUAGAGAAGGCCUUUCAAUAUUUCUUUUAGAAUGAGUUUUGUAUUGCUGUAUUCUUUUAGCUUUUGUUUGUUGGAAAAAAUUUUUAUUCCCCCAUCUAUUUUAAAUGAUAUUCGUGCUGGAUAGAGUAUUCUAGGUUGCAUGGAUUUUCUUUUCAGCACUUUAAAUAUCUCUUGCCAUUCCCUCCUGGCCUGUAGAGUUUCUGUAGAGAAAUCAGCUGAUAGCCUUAUGGUGGUUCCCUUAUAUUUGACACUUUGCUUUUCUCUUGCUGCCUUUAGUAUCCUCUCUUUAUUGUUAACUUUUGCCAUUUUUAUUAUAAUGUGUCUUUGUGUGGGUCUAUUUGGGUUCAACUUGUUUGGGGCCCUCUGUGCUUGUGUAUCUUGAAAUCAGUAUCCUUUAGAUUUGGGAAGUUUCCAACGAUAAUUUCUUCAAAUAUGUUUUCCAUCCCCUUAUUUUUUUCUACUCCUUCUGGAAUUCCUAUUGUGCAUAGAUUGGCCCACUUUAUAUUAUCCCAUAGGUCUCUUAUAUUGCUUUCAUGUUUUUUCAUUUGGUUUUCUGUCUGCUGUCCUGUUUGGGUGAUUUCCAUUAUUCUAUCUUCCACAUCACUAAUUCGUUCUUCUGCAUUAUUCAUUCUGGUUUUUACUGCCCUUAGCUCAGUUUGUAUCUCUGCAAAUGAAUUUUCUAGUUUUUCUUGGCUCCUCUUUAUAUUUUCUAGUUCCUUUCUGAGGGAGUCUGCAUUACUGUUCAUAUCUUCUCCUAAUUCCUUCAGUAUUUUCACUAUCUCCCUUUUGAACUCCAAGUCUGUCAGACUGCAGAGUUCUGAUUCACUGUUGACUGCUUUAGGUGAGUUCUGUUGGUUUCACUGGGAGUGGUUUCUGAGCUUCUUCAUCUUGCUUGUUAUUUUCUUUUUCUUGGGGGAGGUGUACUCCCCAUGGCUGGGCAGGGUUUGACCUGGCACUGCUGUGGAGUGUUUCCCAAGGGCUGGUGCUGUUGGUUCCCCUUCUUUGAGGCAGUGAGGCAUUUCAUGAGGGUGGGCGGGGCUAGCAGGGUCACUCUGAAGCAAAGGAGGACUUCCUGAGGGCAGGUGGGACUGGCAGGUUUGCACCUCGAUGGAGGCAGACUUCCCAUAGCCAGGCAGAGUUUGCUCUGGCAUUUCUGGGCCACGGAGCUCUUCAGGGUGGGGGGCAGUGCUGGGCAGCUGCUCUGCAGGAGUGCAGCAUCUCCCAAGGGCGGGAGCGGAUAGCCAGGCCACUGGGAGACAAAAGGGCACUUCCCCAGGGCAGCCAGAAUGGGCAGGACUGCCCGGCAAUGGAGGCAGACUUUCCAUGGCCAGGCAGAGCUUGCUCUGGCGUUUCUGGGCUGCAGAGCUCUUCCAGGGGGCUGGCGGUGCUGGGCACUGCUCUGCAGGAGUGUAGCCCUUUCUGAGGGUGGGCAGGCCAGGGUGGGGAAAGCCCCUGAGGUGGUCGGCUUCCCGCAAGUGGUGAGGCCAGCCCUCCGGGAUGGCAGGAGGCCUCAGGUCAAGCACACGGUGGGUAGGGGAGGGGGGAUACAUUGGGUCGCACUGCUGUCUGCUAGAAGACAGGCAAGUGUGCUUGCUGGGGUGCAAGGGGUAUUCUAUGGCAGCCCACCCCUCCUCCUCACCCCUCCCCAACACUGGCACCUUGUCUCUCCUUGGGUCCGGCUCUUCUCCCAAGUUCCCCCUGUUGUGGCUUUCCAAUCCCCAGCCCUUAGCAUAUUGUUCCUUCCAACCAUGAUGCACUGCUUCCUAGUGCCCCAGGCUAUCUCUGAACUGCCAACCCCAGCCUGCUCCCGGGGACUAACCUCCAAAGCUGUGGUCUCAGUGCCCAGCCCCCACCUGAGUGUCUUGCUUUUUGGUGACUGUGCCAGUAGUUCAGAUGAUCUGUUUAGCUCUCCCUCUGCUUUUCACAUCUCAGACCUACUGCUGCACUUUUCUCAGCGUCUGGAGAUCCCUCCCACUCAGUUGAUCUUUCCGUUGAUUAGGUGACUUUCCAGGGUGUGGGUUCCCUUUCUCCUUCCCAGUUGCCUUUCAGGAGUGCCCAUCUGGUCCUGAUUCCCCUUCUCUCACUCUACUCUUUUCUCUUGUUUUACCCAGUUAUGUCAUGAGAUUCUUACCCUUAAUGGAGGUUUAAGUUCUUCUGCCAUGUUUAGUUGCUGUUCUGUGCAAGUCAUUUAACAUGUAGGUGUGUUUUUUUUGUUGUGUUUGUGGGACAAAAGAUGGCUUCUGCCAUCUUGCUUUCUUUCUCUGUUUUUGUUUGUUUGUUUAAUGGUUUCCACUGCUGUGCAAAAGCUUGUCAGUUUGAUUAGGUUCCGUUGGUUUAUUUUUGCUUUUAUUUCUGUUGCCUUGGGAGAUUGACCUAAGAAAACAUUUAUAAGGUUGAUGUCAGAGAAUCUUUUGCCUAUGUUCUCUUCUGGGAGUUUGAUGGUGUCAUGUCCUACAUUUAAGUCUUUAAGCCAUUUUGAAUUUAUUUUUGUGCUUGGUGUGAGGUUGUGUUCUAGUUUCACCAAUUACAUGCAGCUGUCCAGUUUUCCCAGCUCCUCUUGCUAAAAAUACUAUCUUUUUCCCAUUUUAUAUUCUUGCCUCCUUUGUCACAGAUUAAUUGGGCAUAGGUGCCUGAGUUUAUUUCUGAGUUCUCUAUUCUGUUCCAUUGGUCUGUAUGUCUGUUUUGGUAUCAGUACCACACUAUCCUGAUUACUGUAGCUUUGUAAUAUUGUCUGAAGUCUGGGAGAGUUAUGCCUCCCACUUGGUUUUAUGGUUCCAUAUAAAUUUUUGGAUUGUUUGUUCUAGUUCUGUGAAAAAUGUCGUGGGUAUUUUGAUAGGGAUUUCACUGAAUCUACAGAGUGCUUUGGGUAGUAUGGCCAUUUUCACAAUAUUAAUUCUUCCAACCCAGGCGCAUGGAUGGAAUAUCUUUCCAUUUCUUUGAAUCCUCUUUAAUUUCCUUGAUUAAUGUUUUAUAGUUCUCAGCAUAUAAGUAUUUCACCUCCUUGGUCAUGUUUAUUCCUAGAUAUUUAAUUUUGGGGGGAGCAAUUUCAAAAGGUAUUUUAUUUUUGUAUCCUUUUCUAAUAUUACAUUGUUAGUAUACAGAAAAGCACUGAUUUCUGAAUGUUAAUCUUGCAUCCUGCUACUUUUCUGAAUUCAUUGAUCAGCUUGAGCAGUUUUUGUGUGGAGUCCUUAGGGUUUUCUAUGUAUAGUAUCAUGUCAUCUGCAUGUCUUCUCUUCCAAUUUGGAUAUCUUUUAUUUCUUUUGUUUGUCUGAUUGCUGUGGCUAGGAGUUCCAAUUCUAUGUUCAAUAAAAGUGAUGAGAGUGCGUAUCCUUGUCUUUUCCCAGAUUUUAGUGGGAUGGCUUUCAGCUUUUCUCCAUUGAGUAUUAUAUUUGCUGUGGGUUUGUCAUAAAUGGCUUUGAUUAUGUUAAGGAAUGUUCCUUCUAUACCCACUUUGGUAAGAGUUUUUAUCAUGAAUGUAUGCUGGACUUUGUCCAGUGCUUUUCUGCAUCUAUUGAUAUGACUGUGUGGUUUUUGACUUCUCCUCUGUUAAUGUGGUGUAUGAUAUUGAUUGAUCGAACCAUCCUGUGAACAUAGGAUGAAUCCCACUUGGUCGUGGUGUGUGAUUUUUUUUUUUGUAUAUUAUUGGAUUCAGUUGGCUAAAAUUUGGUUUUGGAGGUUUAAGUUCUUCUGCCAGUGAGCAGUAGAUGUUCUGUGCAAAUUGUUGUAUAUGUAGAUGUGUUUUUUUCAUGUUUUUAUGGAAGAAGGUGAGUGUGAUGUCUUACUCCUCUGCCAUCUUGAUCCUUCCCACCACAAAUGUUUUUAAAUUCCAUUUCAAUUUAUAUACAUAAUUUUUGUCAUAAAGAAGUACGGUGGUAUAACCAAUAAACAAUUUUCAAGCAUAAGAAUAUAUUACGAUGAAAUUCUGAAGAGGAAGUGAAAUGUGAAUAAGUUAAACCCAGAAUGGGAGAAAAUAUUUGUAAGUGAAUUGACUGACAAGGGAUUAAUAUCCAAAAUAUACAAGUGACACACCCAGCUUAAUAUAAAAAAUAAAAUAAAAUGAGAAGAUCUAGAAAUUUCUCCAAAGAAAUCUUACAGACAAAAAAAAAAAAAAAA
rnacentral:lncRNA from 1 species